rnacentral:rRNA from 1 species
GACGGAGGUCCCUAGCGUUGUUCGGAAUUAUUGGGCUUAAAGCGCGUGUAGGCGGAGCGGUAAGUACCUUGUGAAAGCCCCGGCCUCAAUCCGGGAAUAGCUUGGUAUACUGCCGUUCUUGAGGCAGGUAGGGGUCACUGGAACCUUAGGUGGAGCGGUGAAAUGCGUAGAUAUCUAAGGGAACGCCUGUGGCGAAAGCGGGUGACUGGGCCUGUCCUGACGCUGAGACGCGAAAGCGUAGGGAGCAAACGGGAUUAGAUACCCCGGUAGUCUACGCCGUAAACGAUGCGCACUAGGUUCGAAGGUCUCUGACGAUCCUCGAGCCGAAACAAAAGCGAUAAGUGCGCCGCCUGGGGAGUACGGCCGCAAGGCUAAA